AAGUCGAACGAUGAAGCGGUGCUUGCACCGUGGAUUAGUGGCGAACGGGUGAGUAAUACGUGAGUGACCUACCUUUGACUCUGGGAUAAGCCUGGGAAACUGGGUCUAAUACCGGAUACGACCAAUCUCUGCAUGGGGUGUUGGUGGAAAGCGUUAUGGAGUGGUUUUAGAUGGGCUCACGGCCUAUCAGCUUGUUGGUGAGGUAAUGGCUUACCAAGGCGACGACGGGUAGCCGGCCUGAGAGGGUGACCGGCCACACUGGGACUGAGACACGGCCCAGACUCCUACGGGAGGCAGCAGUGGGGAAUAUUGCACAAUGGGCGCAAGCCUGAUGCAGCGACGCCGCGUGAGGGAUGACGGCCUUCGGGUUGUAAACCUCUGUUAGCAUCGAAGAAGCGAAAGUGACGGUAGGUGCAGAGAAAGCGCCGGCUAACUACGUGCCAGCAGCCGCGGUAAUACGUAGGGCGCGAGCGUUGUCCGGAAUUAUUGGGCGUAAAGAGCUUGUAGGCGGUUGGUCGCGUCUGCUGUGAAAGGCCGGGGCUUAACUCCGGUUUUGCAGUGGGUACGGGCUAACUAGAGUGCAGUAGGGGAGACUGGAAUUCCUGGUGUAGCGGUGGAAUGCACAGAUAUCAGGAGGAACACCGAUGGCGAAGGCAGGUCUCUG
rnacentral:rRNA from 1 species